AUGAUAAGGAUUGAAAUUAUGACGGGUAUGUGAGGAGGGACUUGGGUUUGGGGAACAGGUAAUCAGUUACUGUCUGUCGGCACGAAAAUAAAAAAAAUGAUAAUAACAAUUCGAACUCGAGAACCCUUCAUACUACCUACAAUGAACAAAAACACAAUAAAAUAAAAUAUAAGAUAAUAAAAACAAAUGGGGGAAAAGGAAAAGACAAUGGAUUGAAAGUUGGGUAAGUGGGAGUGUAGGGUUUAGGAGAAGAAGAAGGAAAACAGUUAAAAUGAUUAGGACUCUGCCAAGUGCGGGAACCACACCACCAGGUUCGCCACCAUCCUGCCAUAUCACUCAAUAAUGUUGCUGCAUUUUGGGGGCGGCGGGGGAGUAGUUUAUUAUCUUUGCUCUGCCCACCCCACACCCCAUCCUCUGCGU